CUCUCUCUUUUAUUAAAUUUUAAAUACUUUAUGUACCUGGUCCCCAAGCAAAUAAAUAAAAUAAUAAAUAAUUGUUUUGUCUGUUUGCAAAUCAAUUUCUUUGAUUUAAUCAGUAAGUUCAAGUAACAAACAAAACAUUAUGUGCUUGGUUUUGUACAGUGCAGGUUGUUUCAGAAAGAGAAGAGUGGAUGGUGUGCACCAGCUGGAUUUUCACAAGCCUUAACUCAUCACACAAGCGUGUAUGAUCACAGAAUGGAUGACCUGAGUGAUUUCCUGAGACAAAGAAUUAUUCCUGAGGAAACUAUUGAGACCAUGCUGAGAGAGAAGAUUGAUAGCAGUGUCAUCCAACUCAUGACAGAUGAAGAGCUAAAGAGUUAUUUGCCAUC